UGGCACGCCCUGUCGCACUCUGAACAGUCCAAAUACUACGACCUGGCCCAGAAGGAGAGACUGCUUCACAUGCAGCUCUACCCUGGAUGGUCCGCCAGGGACAACUACGGUAAAAGGAAGAGGAAGCAGAGCCAGCAGGCCACAGGAAGCUGCACCAGCAGCUGGAUCGGAUGAGACCCCUGAAGACAACUGUCGUAUAAACUCGUCCUCCUCAUCCAGUAAAAUGCAGUGAGGUCGCAAAUCCAGUUCAACAUUGAAAGACCGAAAGACUUGCAGCCAUCACACAAUUAGUCAGACCUCUGCCCUGUAUGUAAAGCUCUGACCUCUGCCCUGUAUUUACAGCACAGACCUGUCUUCUGUAAAAAUUGAUUAAAUUAAAUCUUUAUUUACUGUC